CCUACGGGCGGUAGCAGUGAGGAAUAUUGGUCAAUGGACGAGAGUCUGAACCAGCCAAGUAGCGUGAAGGAUGACUGCCCUAUGGGUUGUAAACUUCUUUUAUAUGGGAAUAAAAUGUUGCACGUGUGCCAUUUUGUAUGUACCUUAUGAAUAAGGAUCGGCUAACUCCGUGCCAGCAGCCGCGGUAAUACGGAGGAUCCGAGCGUUAUCCGGAUUUAUUGGGUUUAAAGGGAGCGUAGGUGGGUUGUUAAGUCAGUUGUGAAAGUUUGCGGCUCAACCGUAAAAUUGCAGUUGAUACUGGCAGCCUUGAGUACAGUAGAGGUGGGCGGAAUUCGUGGUGUAGCGGUGAAAUGCUUAGAUAUCACGAAGAACUCCGAUUGCGAAGGCAGCCUACUGGACUGCCACUGACACUGAGGCUCGAAAGUGUGGGUAUCAAACAGGAUUAGAUACCCUUGUAGUC
rnacentral:rRNA from 1 species